AACGAACGCUGGCGGCAUGCCUAACACAUGCAAGUCGAACGAGACCUUCGGGUCUAGUGGCGCACGGGUGCGUAACGCGUGGGAACCUGCCCUUAGGUUCGGAAUAACUCCCCGAAAGGGGUGCUAAUACCGGAUAAUGUCUUCGGACCAAAGAUUUAUCGCCUUUGGAUGGGCCCGCGUUGGAUUAGCUAGUUGGUAGGGUAAAAGCCUACCAAGGCGACGAUCCAUAGCUGGUCUGAGAGGAUGAUCAGCCACACUGGGUCUGAGACACGGCCCAGACUCCUACGGGAGGCAGCAGUGGGGAAUAUUGGACAAUGGGCGAAAGCCUGAUCCAGCAAUGCCGCGUGAGUGAUGAUGGCCUUAGGGUUGUAAAGCUCUUUUACCCGGGAUGAUAAUGACAGUACCGGGAGAAUAAGCUCCGGCUAACUCCGUG
rnacentral:rRNA from 1 species